UUAAAAUUGAUUUUAUCUGUUUCUUUUUACUUUUUUAAUGUGGUUAUACGGAAAUUUAAAAUUACAUACAUGACUGCAUAUUAUUUAUAUUGGACAGCACUGUUCUGGGUGAUUCCCCAUCCAUUGGACUCACUCCUUGCCACCUGUGUUUUCCCAGGUGAGACCCCAGGCAUCAUGGAGCAGACAAGCCAUCCAUACUGUGCCCUGUAUGGAUUUCUGUCUCAUAGAAUUUGUGUUCCACAUCACAGGAUCAGAGGAGCCCCAGUCAGGAAGUUAGCGUUAUGAAGGACAGGCAGAAGCAAGACACCCGCAGGAAGCAUAUGUAAAUGUAAAAGAGUGAUGACUGAGCAUGUGGGUGAGGUGAGACCCCAGGCAUCAUGGAGCAGAGACAAGCCAUUCCUUCUGUGCCCUGCAUGGAUUUCUGACUCAUAGAAUUUGUGUUCCACAUCACAGGAUCAGAGGAGCCCCAGUCGGGAAGUUAGGGUUAUGAAGGACAGACUGAAGCAAGACACCUGCAGGAAGCUUAUGUAAAUGUAAAAGAGUGAUGACUGAGCAUUUGGGUGAGGUAAGGAGUAGGGUCAAAAGAUAUGAAUGAUACAGACCAUCCCUUGCUUCCCUCCAAUAUGUUUGUGCCUUUGUUUUGUCAAAUCCAUUAGAAAGCCUCCUUCAGAUGGUUUUAUUAGUUCUUUCAGGUAAAUGGAACCCUAUACUAGUGCAUCAUCAUUGUCCCCAUCCUUCCUAGGAACCUAGCAGAGCCUAAUCCAACUUAAUCCAGCAAAGCCUAAUGUUGCAGGGAUGGGAACCACAAAUAGAUCAAGGGGAAUCAUGGAGAGAGGGACCAAUCCUACAUUAAUUCCUUGGUUCCUAUAUGUUCUAGUUACUGGGGCCAUGGCAUCAUCUAUCGUCUUUUAGUUUAGUGCAUAUAUUGCAUUGUGG